rnacentral:tRNA from 1 species
UCCCUGAUGGUCCAGUAGGUAAGACUCUGUGCUCCCAAUGCAGGGGCCUGGGGUCCGACCCCUGGUUGGGGAA